rnacentral:lncRNA from 1 species
AUCCAGCCCGCCAGGGCCGGAUUUAGGUUUGAUGAGGCCCUAAGCUACUGAAGGUAAUGGGGCCCUUUAUAUGUCCAGCUGUCCUUUGUCAACAACAAAUUGUCACUGUUUUUUUGUGUUGAGUAUAUGCUAUAUGGGAAUUUAUGGACCUAAGAGGUAUCUAAAGCCAUUUGCACAUAACAAAACAGGUAUUUUAUCAGAGUAAUUGUUGAACUGAAAUACAGUUAAGAAGUAUAUUAAUAGUGAAAUAAUUAUUAAGCUCUAACUUAAAAUGAUUUUUUUAUCCAUAACAGACGUAUUAAUGCAAACACAUUGGCAUUUGGCAAUAACAAAAGUUCCUUUAGAAACACAGUUUACAAAGACUCAUAAUCUAGUCUCUAGAAGCUUGCUAUAACAUGAUAUAAUAAUAGCAAAUCAGUGAUAUUUUAGGGAGCAGGUUAGCAGGCGGGGCCCAUUAAUUAUAUCAUAGGAGCCUACACAACACAACACAAAACAAAACAAAACACUGUUGCUGUAUGUAGGUUUUAUUUUAUUUGUUUUUUAUCUUAUAUUUCGGAAAUGUACAUCCAGGUAUUUUUCCUUUAAUUUUUUUUAGGGCCCCCAAGAGAGUGGGGCCCUAAUCUAUAGCUUGUUUAGCUUAUAUAUAAAUUUGGCACUGCUGUCUGCUCCCAUGACAGUCAAUCAUGUGUGGAACAAGGACAGGGAAACUUGGAAACUGUUUUACAGUCUGCACUGCUAUUGAAGGUCUGAGAACUGCCUGUCACAUUUUGCAUUUGACCAUCUUGUUUCCAGUGGCUUCCACACUUCUUUCCAGAGCUUUAGCACAGUGGGGUCUUUGGGGUUUUUGUUUAGCAGAGCAUCUUGGAUACUCCCGAUUACACUUGGCUACCAGAGUUCAACUUUCCACAUUUCCCCCGCCAGGGAACUGCAAUGACACUCAGGCAAUGUGGGCAGCAUUAAUUGUCACCUGAGCGCUUGGCAGGUGAGAUUGAGAUCGAUGGAACGAGCAAAAAGCAGCGUUGAGAUACAAUUGGCGGCUUAACAUUCCAUUUGUGUACAACCAAAAAAGGAGGCUGGGAAAGGACAAAGGGGAGGGACAAUUCCUGCAAUUUUCUUGAGCUAGUAGGUUUGCCUGCCACAGGGACUCUGCAAUGCUGCAAAGAGGGAUGGCCAGCCUGUUGCUAGAGAUACUUCUGACUACCACGCAGCUUCAUAUUAACUUGCCACCAGCUGACCCAUUCGUUGUAAACAACUUCCUCCAGGCACAGUUUUAAUCUGGGCUCCUUAGCGUGUUAAGGAAUGAGUUAAUUCUCCAUAAUAAGGUAAAGGGACCCCUGACCAUUAGGUCCAGUUGUGACCGACUCUGGGGUUGUGGCGCUCAUCCCACUUUACUGGCUGAGGGAGCUGGUGUACAGUGCCCGGGUCAUGUGGCCAGCAUGACUAAGCCACUUCUGGUGUACCAGAGCAGAGCACAGAAACGCCGUUUACCUUCCUGCCAGAGUGAUACCUAUUUAUCUACUUGCACUUUGACGUGCUUUCAAACUGCUAGGUUGGCAGGAGCUGGGACCGAGCAAUGGGAGCUCACCCCGUCACGGGGAUUCGAACCGCCAACCUUCUGAUCGGCAAGUCCUAGGCUCUGUGGUUUAACCCAUAAUGCCACCCGCGUCCCUACCAUUCUCCAUAAGAUGGUACAAAAGCUUUUUUCCCAGGAUGCAGCUGCAGAGCAUUCAUGACUAUCAUAUCUCGCUGUGCAGAUUUUCAUGUAGCGUUGGCUCUUAUCAGAAGCUCCACCUACAACAUUCUGGUGAAGAAUUGUGGAGAAGAGCUGGAAAGACUUGUGCAGAAGAAACAGAGGACUGAAGUUGCAGGACUUUGGCAACUUUGGAGCAAGGACUCUGAAGGCUGAUAACCCUCUCUGGGCUCAGAGAGAGGAGUUUUCUUGAAGCAACUAGGCAUAGUGUAUGUCUAGUGCAAGCAAGGCCAAACUUGGCCCUCCAGAUGUUUUGGGACUACAGUUCCCAUCACCCCUGACCACUGGUCCUGUUAGCUAGGGAUGCUGGGAGUUGUAGUCCGAAAACAUCUGGAGGGCCAAAUUUGGCCAUGCCUGGUCUAGUGUGUUUUGCGUUUACUAAGUAAAACAGCCUCUGCUACCUCUGCUGUGGGAAGUUGAAUUGCUUCUGAUUGUGCACAAUCACCCAACAGGUUAUUAGGCACAAACAUUCAGCCUAGGAGCAGGGAAGGAAGGAAUUGGAUUCAGUUUUGCAUGUAAAGGUGAACCUAGUUUGCUCUUUGAGGAUCAAUACGUGAACCAAAACACUGCCAUCCUUUAUUAGGGCAAAGUGUGAAAAUAUUGGUGAAAAUGGCAUACAGAAAUGCAUUAUAUUUUUUUGCAAAAAUGUAUAUAUUAGGCAGAACUGCAUACAAAUGUGUAUAUUAUGAGAAAUUUCUUUUAAAGUGUUGAAUUGUCAUGAGGCCUUUUUUAAAAAAAAGCAAACUGAUGUAGAAAUGUAGAGAACUGAACUUAAGGUUAGAAAAAUGGAAAACAGAAAAAUCUGAAAUUGACAAAUUCGCUCAUUCCUACUUAGGGCUAAACCCUGAAAUUUAUUUUCAGUGGUCUAAUUCAGCCCUUGUUCAUAAGGAAAAUGAAAAUAGUGCUCUUAAGCACACACAGAGGGCCUUUCUUUUACCACCUCAUAACUACCAUCAUAUAGCGUACAUAAAUAUUUCUGUCUGGUUUUUGUUUUCUAAAAAAGUGUUGAUUUGAUGUGCUCCAGACCUUAAAUUCAUUUUUUUUACUGAUGUUAGCUAGGAAGGAGGGAUGGAAAUAUCAAAAUCAAACAAACGGUACCCAGGAUUAGAGAUCAAGGCUUUGGGUGGCGGUCAAGUAAGGUUUAUACAAAGUAGACCCGUUGAAGUUAAUGGACCUUAACUUAGCCACGUUCAUUAAUUUCAGUGGUCUACUCAGAGUAAACCUUAGUUGAAUGCCUCUGAGCAUGUGCAGAUUCUUUUCUUCUUAAGAAAUGGCGAAUGGCCACCAUUGCUCAAUAGUAGAGCAUCCAUAUUCCAUGCAGAAGAUCCUAGGAUCAUUCCCUGGUUGGCAUCUCCAACGGGACUGGGAGGGACCCCUGCAAGAAACCCUGGUGAGUCACUGCCAAUCAGUGUAAAGGAUACUGAACUAAAUGGACCAAUGGUCUGACUCGAUGUAAGGCAGCUUCCUAUGCAUAAUUACAACCAGCUGACAUUUUGUGGGUGGGAGAUUGGGUGAAAAAAGGUUGGUCCUUGGCCUCCUCCAUUGCAAAAAUAAGAGUACUGUUGCGUUCUAGGACAUUUCUGCCAAUGAGCUAUUAAAAAUGGAGCAGACAUGCGGAGGUGGAGAGCUUUGGACGGGGAAGAGACUAAGCCUGGCUCCUUUCCAUGGCUAAAGACUGGGAGAAAGAGGUCCAUCAUUUCUUUGAACUCAUCUUGCAUUCAGCCAGCUGCAUAUAAAUUUCCUCCGAACUCAUCAAGCCCUCACUGUUUGGCCUCCACUGACUGAUACUGCCUCAUCAUACUUAAUCUAGGGUGAAAUUUCCUCGUCUGAGCUAAAUUACUCGCAGCCAUCAAGGGAAGCGAUAUUUAUUUUUCGCGGGGCUAAUGACCUGUCCCCCGGACCCACCCACUGAUGGUUAUUUACUAGGCCCCAGAUGCUUGAACUCAAAAUGAGUGCUAAUGUCAGCAGGAACCAUCCCUCAUCCAGCCCUCUGAUUGAAUUGGAGCCUUCCCAUUGACAUUGACUCGGUGACUUUUAAGGCCAUUAGCCUCGGUGAGAGAUGAACCUCUCGUCAUCGCUUUGACGCUGACAGCUGAUUAGCAACAAAUGACAAGCCGGGAAAGGGGGCUUUUCUUGGACAGGGGGGCAGAGGGAGAAGAACGGGUGACCAGAGGCAGAGGCUGAGAAAGGCAAAGAAAAACCUGGGGGUGGAAUAACAUGUAGCCAAUAUGCGCGUGUGUUCGAAGUGCAUGUUUUGCAACUGCAGCCCUAUAGGGUAGCCCCCAUCUUGCAGGUGUCGGGGCUGAGAGAUAGGAGCUUAUGUAUUGCGUUCAGAACUGAUGCAGAAUUUGAAUGAGGGGAUUUCCCCUUUUAUAGCUCAGGGGCAGAGUACCUGUAAAUAGUGACAGAGCUAUUUGCUGAAACCCCAAGCUGCCAUGAUGCACAUGCAAAAUUGAGAGCUGGGGGAUGGUUGUGUUCAAACGAGAUGUGCCGGUAAAUGUGUGAUUGCAUACAACACAGCAGCCAUGGGGGUUAAUGGCCAAUGGAGGCAUCCCUCCUGGCCUAACACAAGGUGAUUUGCAAAUAUAGCUUCACAAGUGGGAUCUGAAGUGAAAAGUCGAACCACACCUUAUGUUAAAUGUGCAACAUGCACUCCCUUCCCUUUUAAAAAAAUGCAAAUUGAGUGUGUGUGUGUGUAGGGGCAACGUGAGUUUUAACUCUCUCCUAGUGAGCCAUGACCCCCUCAAAAAAUACCCUUGCAUUAUUUUCCUGGAAGAUGUUUAGUAGGGCCAAUUCUGGGGUGAUUUCUAAUACUUGCUUAGUUAUUUUACAUAUUUCUCCUAUGGUUGUUGUCCAGAAUAGUUGGAUUUUGGGACACUCCCACCACAUGUGGAGGUAUGUGCCUGUGGAGGUGCAUCCUCUUCAGCAUUUUGGUGAGGUUCCUGGGCAUAUUAGCGCUGGCUUCCUUGGUUUAGGUACCACCUGUAGGUAAGUUUCAGAGUGAGUUCUUUUCUUUUCGUUACAAAUCAAUAUGGCGAACCUGAUCCAAAACACCCACCCACCCCACUCACACAUGAAGACAAAGAUCACCACCAAAGAAACACAAGUGAAUAGCAGAGAACCUGCGCAAGCAACGAUGACACAAAACCUCACAUAUAUUAAGUAAAAUAGAAACAUCGCCACCUGACCCCACCCCCACUCACCUUUCCCCUUCCACCUCUUUCCCCCCUUUCUUCCUAAUGUUUCAACAAAUGAAACUGAUCUGUAAAAAAAAUGUUACUUGAAAAAAAGACACACUUUUGUAAACCAAGAAAAUCUUUAAUAAAAAUACAUUUUUUAAUAAAAGUUCUCUGUGGUGCCAAUGAUGGCAUUUUUCUAAGGCUAAUUGCCACAGGGGGCAGUUUUCAUGGGGGUGAUGUGGUGGAGGAGGGGAGGAUUAGACUUCCUCCAUGGGCUGCGUUCCCAGUAGUAACUGUCCCUCCCCCACUACUCAAUAUCAAUUAAAAAAUAAAUAAAUCUGAUGCUAGGCUGACACUGUGGCUGUGUGAAGUGCUCCUCUUCAGUGUUCCAGCCAGCCAUGCCUUCCAUCAGAAUACUCCAAUCCGUCCCCACCCCUGACACUUGGUAUGUUCGCUCCUCAUUGUGCAAUCUUUUUUGGAGGGGCUCCCUCUCUGGAGUGCUGCUGCUUCCUUUUAAUAUUUUUAUCUACAUAAAUUUAUGUAGACAAAGAUUCAAUGUGAAGUAUUGGUUGUGUUUAGAAUAGAUUUAGGAAAGAUUUAGAAAACUUAUUGAUUAGAAUAUUCGUGUGAGAUUGUAUGGGAAUAAUACGGAAUAACAGAUACAAUCUUGCACAAAAUGUAUAUAGGAAGUGCAGUGUAAGCGAUGGAAGUCAAUCAAUGAAAUCUUAUUAAUAUUUUCAUAUUAAGAUAUUUGUAGAAUAAAUUUGGAAGAAAUUCUUCCAACUUUUCUUCUUUUUUCUCUUUAUUUCUUCUUUUUUCUUUUCUUCUUUUUUCCUCUUUUCCUCUUUUUAUAUAUGUGUGCUUAUCUGAAAUAUGUAUGUAUAUUUGCAAUAUUUUGCUUAUAUUUUGUAAUAUGUUAAAUAAAUUAAUAAAAUAAUAAUAAUUUUUUUUUUACUCCUGCAAGAGCCUUGGCUUUAUUUAUUUAUUACUUUUAUACCACACCAAGGAGUUCAAGGGGAUGUAAACGGCUCCCAAAUCUGAUCCUCACAACAGCCCUGUGAGGUAGGUUAGGUGGAAAGGUAUUAACUGACCCAAGCUCACUUCUCUGGUGUUCAUAGCUGAGCGACUCAUUCAGGCCCCAUGACUGUGUAGCUUCGCUUGCCCUCUUGCCAAGAGGAUGAGGAGCUGUCCAGCAGGUCAGAAAACCGAUUAUUUUUUGCAAGAGCAAAGGAGCUGUCCAGUUGUAGGCACAGUGAGCUGAGCUAGAUAGAAAUAAAAACGCUGAUUUAUAGGCCCUGUCUUUUUCUUCUUGGCAUCUGUCUGUCUCGACAGACAAUGGAGUGCACCUUUGGGGUGAAGCCAAACCACUGGAGAAACGCAGAGCCUGCUGUGGCUGCAGAGACCGGUAACUCGUAACCACUGCCUUCUGUGUUCUUUUUUGCUGCUUUAGCAGGGUUGUAUGCGGGUGGCGCUGUGGGUUAAAUCACAGAGCCUAGGACUUGCCGAUCAGAAGGUCAGUGGUUCGAAUCCCCACGACGGGGUGAGCUCCCGUUGCUCGGUCCCUGCUCCUGCCAACCUAGCAGUUCGAAAGCACGUCAAAGUGCAAGUAGAUAAAUAGGUACCGCUCUGGCGGGAAGGUAAACGGCAUUUCCGUGCGUUGCUCUGGUUCGCCAGAAGUGGCUUAGUCAUGCUGGCCACAUGACCCGGAAGCUGUAUGCCGGCUCCCUCGGCCAAUAAAGUGAGAUGAGCGCUGCAACCCCAGAGUCGGCCACGACUGGAUCUAAUGGUCAGGGAUCCCUUUACCUUUACCUGGGGUACAACCCUGGGCAGUGUGCGUGGAGGUCCCGGGCUGCCCAUACAACACAAACCACCUCUCGACUUCAUUGAUGUAGGCAUAUUACAUUGAUCCUGGUCCGACUUCACUGGCUACCAGUUAGUUUCUGGGCCCAAUUCAAAGUGCUGGUUUUGACCUAUAAAGCCUUAAACAGCUCAGGACCGCAAUACCUCAAGGACUGCCUCUUUCCAUAUGAACCUACCUGGACCCUGAGAUCAUCUUCUGAGGCCCUCCUUCGUGUGCCUCCUCCUUGAGAGGUCCGGAGGGUGGCAACACAAGAACGGGGCCUUCUCUGCAGUGGCUCCCCAUCUGUGGAAUGCUCUCCCCAGGGAAGUUCGCCUGGCACCAUCAUUACACACCUUUAGGUGCCAGGCAAAAACGUUCCUUUUUAACCAAGCCUUUGGUCGAUCUGAUCAACAUUCUAUACCCUUUUAAAAUAUGGCUUUUUAAAGGGGAGGGGUGUUACUGGGUUAUUGUUCUUAUUUUGAUUUUAUAUAUUGUGAUAUUUUCUGUGAACUGCUCUGAAACCUCCGGGUAUAGGGCGGUAUAUAAAUUCAAUGAAUGAAUGAAUAAUAAUAAAUUUUAUUUAUACCCCACCCUCCCCAGCCAAGACUGGGCUCAGGGCGGCUGGCACCAGGUAUAAAAACAAUUGAUUGAAAUACAACUUAAAAACAAGAUUAAAAUAUGACAUUAAAACAUUAAAAUGCAGCCUCAUUUCAGUAGGAACUCAAAUCAAAAACUUUUGGGGGGAUGGAAACAUCAAGUCUUCACCAAGGCCAACUAUCCAGACCGGUCCUAUGUGGGCCAGAAAAAAGCCAGGGAAGUCCCCAAAUAGGAGUUCCAUCACAGAAAGAGAAAGAAAAAAGGAAAGAGGGGGAAGGGAUCAAGUUGAUUCCAAGCCAAAGACCAGGCGGAACAACUCUGUCUUAUAGGCCCUGUGGAAAGAAAUCAGAUCCUGCAGGGCCCUGGUCUCAUGAGACAGAGCAUUCCACCAGGCUGGAGCCAGUGUUGAAAAGGCCCUGGCUCUGGUUGAGGCUAAUCUGACUUCCUUAGGGCCCGGGACCUCUAGGGUGUUGCUGUUUAUGGACCUUAAGGUCCUCCGCGGGGCAUACCAGGAGAGGCGGUCCCAUAGGUAUGAGGGUCCUAGGCCGUGAAGGGCUUUAAAGGUCAAAACCAGCACCUUAAAUCUGACACUGUACUCCACCACUGGGUGAAUAUGCUCCAAUAGCAGGGACCCCGUGAGGAGCCUCGCUGCAGCAUUCUGCACCCAAUGGAGUUUCUGGGACAGUUUCAAGGGCAGCCCCGCGUAGAGCGAAUUACAUGAAUGAAAGCUGAACAAUAUGUUUGGCACCAGCAUGGCUGAAUGAGUUGCCGGCUGAAUGUUUACUCCUUACCCCUUUCUUCUUCUGAAGAUGUUCUGCAAGGCCCCGUCUGCACUGUACAGUUGAAGCACUUUAACAGUCCCAGCUUCCCCUCAAGACUCCCGGGAACUGUAGUUUGUUAAGACUGCUGGGGGUUGUUAGGAGGCUCCUCCUAUUUCCCUCACAAAGCCACAAUUCUCAGGGUGGUUUAAAAGCCAGUUCCUCUUCACAGGAUAAAAGGUGAAGGGACCCCUGACCAUUAGGUCCAGUCGUGGCCGACUCUGUGGUGCUCAUCUUGCUUUACUGGCUGAGGGAGCCGGCGUACAGCUUCCGGGUCAUGUGGUCAGCAUGACUAAGCCACUUCUGGAGAACCAGAGCAGCGCACGGAAACACUGUUUACCUUCCCACCGGAGCGGUACCUAUUUAUCUACUUGCACUUUGACGUGCUGCUAGGUUGGCAGGAGCUGGGACCGAACAACGGGAGGUCACCCCGUCGCGGGGAUUCGUACCACCGACCUUCUGAUCGGGAAGUCCUAGGUUCUGUGGUUUAACUCACAGUGCCACCCUUCACAGGAUACUCAGGGCUAUAUGACAGUGGUGGGUGGAGCCAGAGAUAUAAGUAGGUGGAGCAAAGCAUCUAAUAGGCUAUUUUCUUCACCCACACCCAUCCUCUCACCCACCUCUGUCUUCCAUCUAGGCAACCAAGACACAUUAUCUGAGUUCAAGGACACAGUCCAGACAAGGUGAAAAUGCUCAAGGAGAAUGAGAAGCAAGACCAGUGACCUUGGGAGAGACCUUGUGGCCUGUGGGGAGAUUCAAAGGCCAGGUAGAGAGAUCUGGAGGGCACCCGUGUCUGAGGAUCCCCUCUCCUGGUAUAGAACCCCUCCCAGAAAUCAUAUGUAAAAAUAUAAAUAUAUAUUUCAACAUUUUGCAAACAGCAGGACUUGGGUUGCAUCCUACGAGCCGAUCACCAUUUUAUCACCCCAGCUGCAUUUCUGACCACAUUUGGCUCACGACAAACUCUAUGCAAAUCAGUCCUAAAAUAAGAGAUCAGCAAAGAACGAGUGGCUGGACUUUGGCGGGGAUUUUAUGAACGGUGGAAUGCGCACAUAUUUUCAAAGGAAGCGUAGCCAGCUUCCCACCGUCUUAUUGAGAGAAUCUGUUAUGGGUUUCCUUGCGUGUGGCCAUGCAAAUCCUGGAUGGGGUUUUUAUUUCGCUUUUCAGAGCGGUGGCAAACAUAUUUAUGGGGCUCAGCACAUCAGUUUGUUUUCAAGGGCCAAAUCGGAUCAUUUCAGAUGGAAGGCCUAGCCAGACUCAGCUGUGCUGAACUUGAACAGAACCAGCGAAGCCAGCCGAUUGGUUCAGUGGCCGCAACAAACUUAUUUCAGCGCCCAGAGGUGCUCUUCUGAAGUUGGGAUUUCUCAAGCUUUUUGUUAUUUAUUAAAUUUAUUUAUUAAAUUAACAAUCCUAGGGCAGGUUACAGCAUAUAAAUAUAGAACGAUACAAUUGCAUUCAAUGUAAAUGACACCCAUAAUUAAAACCACCACAAUAUGCCUCCUAA